rnacentral:rRNA from 1 species
CAGUAGCCGCGGUAAUACGUAGGUGGCAAGCGUUGUCCGGAAUUAUUGGGCGUAAAGGGCUCGCAGGCGGUUUCUUAAGUCUGAUGUGAAAGCCCCCGGCUCAACCGGGAGGGUCAUUGGAAACUGGGAAACUUGAGUGCAGAAGAGGAGAGUGGAAUUCCACGUGUAGCGGUGAAAUGCGUAGAGAUGUGGAGGAACACCAGUGGCGAAGGCGACUCUCUGGUCUGUAACUGACGCUGAGGAGCGAAAGCGUGGGGAGCGAACAGGAUUAGAACCCGCGUAGUCCCUGUCUCUUAUACAC